rnacentral:ncRNA from 1 species
CUUUGCCAUCGCGGGAGCUCCGAGCACGGGGCUGAGAGGACGCUGACCAGCGCUGCGUCGACCGCCGAACCUGUUACCGGGUAAUGCCGGCGUAGGGAGUGGGUCUGAUGACCGC